CCUACGGGAGGCAGCAGUGAGGAAUAUUGGUCAAUGGACGAGAGUCUGAACCAGCCAAGUAGCGUGAAGGCUGACUGCCCUAUGGGUUGUAAACUUCUUUUAUAUGGGAAUAAAACAGGGCAUGCAUACCCUCUUGUAUGUACCAUAUGAAUAAGGAUCGGCUAACUCCGUUCCAGCAGCCGCGGUAAUACGGAGGAUCCGAGCGUUAUCCGGAUUUAUUGGGUUUAAAGGGAGCGUAGGUGGUUUGUUAAGUCAGUUGUGAAAGUUUGCGGCUCAACCGUAAAAUUGCAGUUGAUACUGGCAGUCGUGAGUACAGUAGAGGUGGGCGGAAUUCGUGGUGUAGCGGUGAAAUGCUUAGAUAUCACGAAGAACUCCGAUUGCGAAGGCAGCUCACUGGACUGCAACUGACACUGAUGCUCGAAAGUGUGGGUAUCAAACAGGAUUAGAUACCCGGGUAGUC
rnacentral:rRNA from 1 species